rnacentral:tRNA from 1 species
GAGAGAUGGCUGAGUGGUCGAAGGCGGCGGUCUUGAAAACCGUUGUGUCACUUGUGGCACCUAGGGUUCGAAUCCCUAUCUCUC